GACGAACGCUGGCGGCGCGCCUAACACAUGCAAGUCGAACGGAGCGUGCGAGUCGAUCCCUUUCGGGGGUGAAGCAUGCAUUGCUUAGUGGCGAACGGGUGAGUAACACGUGAGCAACCUACCCAGGGGCGGGGGACAACAUUUGGAAACAGAUGCUAAUACCGCGUAAGACCACAGCCGGGCAUCCGGCAGUGGCCAAAGGAUUUAUCCACCCUUGGAUGGGCUCGCGCCUGAUUAGCUAGUUGGUGGGGUAAUGGCCCACCAAGGCAACGAUCAGUAGCCGGACUGAGAGGUCGAUCGGCCACAUUGGGACUGAGACACGGCCCAGACUCCUACGGGAGGCAGCAGUGGGGAAUAUUGCACAAUGGGCGAAAGCCUGAUGCAGCGACGCCGCGUGAGGGAAGAAGGUUUUCGGAUUGUAAACCUCUGUCUUCGGGGACGAUAAUGACGGUACCCGAGGAGGAAGCCACGGCUAACUACGUGCCAGCAGCCGCAGUAAUAC
rnacentral:rRNA from 1 species